UUGGUGCCUUUGUACUGUAACUGUAAUUCAGGAAGCAGAAACAGGCUGUGUCUGCAUUUUAAUGAGCUAAAAGACAGGAAUUUCCAAAUCUCAGCAUGGUGCUGCUAUCAGGAAGAUUUUUCAGAGAAGAUCUAAUCCUUUCUAGUUGCUGGGUAGCUGAGGCUCCCUUUAGGUACUGAAGUGCCACGACAAAGUCAUCCCAGAGCCUUCUCUUCUCCAGACCAAACAAGCCUAACUCUCUCAGCCUGUCUUCACAGGAGAGAUGCUCCAGCACUCCAGCAGAGUCAUAGAAUAGUUCAGAAGCAGAAGAAAGUUCUGGAAGAAAGUGGAAGAAGGAAGUUUCGCCAGGUCCUUCUUCUUCACGACUCUGUUCCUGUUUGCCCAGUGGCUGAUGCAGGAACAAUUACUGCCUGCCCAGCUGCCUGCUAGACAGUCUCACAUCUGCUGAGGGAUGCCAUCUUUAAAUAUCAACUCAGGUGUAUUGUACAAGAAUACAAUUUCUUUGUACAAUACAGCUGUAUUGUACAAAGAAACUUCUCGAACAAGGUGCAAAAAGUAUUUGUCUGUAGAACAGGAAAACAAACCCCCAUGGUACUGUAAGGUGAGACUUUUCGUGAACCAAUUUUGCAUGCCUCUCCAAAAACUGUGUCACAGUGCCUUGUGGAAAGUUUCUCACUCCAGGGAAGAAGUAUUAAUAAUGUUUCUCUCCUGCAUAAACAUGUAAUUGGUGGAAUGCCAGCACCAGAUAAAUGUUAAAAUUUUAAGAAUAAAAUAUUAGGAAAUAAAAAUUAAUUUAUCUAAUAAUAUGCUUUAAAAGUUUAUUUUCUUAAUAUGUUAUAGCUCACUCUGGAAGUCUAUGAUUCACUGCCUAUACUACAUUUCCCAAGUACAAUCAGUAUUACAGACAACAACAAAGCUGUGGCAUUCAGUUUUGGUGAAGCUGCACAGACAGAAGUUCUGCCGAGCAUAUCCACACCCCAGGCCUGCAAAACCGGUUGGGAGUCUCAGGAAAGUGAGAUUCCCAAUUCAGGCUGUUGCCCUCCUGAGAAGCUCUAGAUCCCCCCUAAUACACAGAAGCUACAAGUAAAAUCUCAAUUAUUUAAAGUAUUUUAUCAUCUCAGAGAGAGUUCGCUUUGGGCAAGGGAUUAAAAGGUUGUUAUUUGCAUAAGGAACUUGUCUAUCAAGGGUUUAUGAGUCAUAAAAUAUUUUGGUUUGUUAAUCAUCACUGCCAGCUUAAUGGUCAAACUUACUUUACACUCUGACAAACACAUUUGCUUUUGUACUGCAAAGCUCUUCUCACUGUUAAACAUAACUCUUACUGGACACAACAUUACAAGUCUCAUUUCUGCAAUUUUUUUCAAAUGCCUGCCUAAUCUUCAGCGUCCUCUCCAGCCUGUGAAUUUUCCCUGUAUUUUUCUGCAUCAGGACGAAAUCAAAACUUGGCACUAUGCAGCAUGCACUGGCAAGUUUUUUGGAAUAUUACAGGAGGCACAGGUAAGGUUUAUCAGGCUGUGCUGCUGCCACCCUCAUUUCAGAUAUGCAAUAUUCAGUCUGUCCAGGAAUGCAUUUAGGAAUAAGGAUGGAGCUGAAGACUUUUGGGAGGUCCUAGGACAGGACUCACACAGCCAAAUUAUCCCAGAUAUGGGAGCUUUGAGCAGUUCUGUGUACUGCAUAUCUCAGGAAAAACUUCAUCAUCUUCAGAGCAACAGAGUGUCUCAUUAAUUACAGAUGAGCUUGGAACAUUACAAAGUGUGAUAAGCAAGAUUUUCAGAAUUGGAUAUUUCCUUGUCAGCCUCUGAGCAUAGAUUUGGUGUUUAUAAAAGUGGUUUCCCCUUCAAAGGUACCUAAAACUCUGUGGAGCUGGUGAAAAUAACUCAGUUUCAGAAAAGAUAUUUUAUAUUUUUAAUAUCAUGUGCCUGAAAUAUUUUUUCUCCCAAAAGAGCUUCAAAUUCCUGCAUUUUUGUAGGUUCAAUAGAAACAUCAAGAUUUUCAUCCUGUGGGAAAUUCAAAUAUUAAGGUAGUUGCAUUUAUUUUUCUCUGAGUGUGCUAUCUCCAUAGAGUUUUCUUUGUGAAAACACUGAAAGCAGAUUAUUUCAAGCCAGUAUCAGCUAUGUGUCCAUUUUAAACUAUAGCAAACUUUGUGAAGACUUUAAUUAAGACAUCGUAGUCUCCCAUUCUUCCUAAAAGUCUAGAGUAAUUUUUAAACUAGAUCACUAGUGAGGUUGUACUAUGGAUGGCCAAAUAAUUUGUACAAAAUAUUGGGUCUUAGUGGAAUUGCUCAGCCAAGAAGAAAAAGCAGCAUGGGACUUAGAAGAAAGUAUUGGGUCUAUUAUUUCGGUGAGUCACCACAGGAUUUCAUACAAACACACAGAAAUAUUCAAUUCAUCAUGUGAAAGGAUUUGGGAUGGUCUUCCAAAAAAACCCCUUUUUUUUCUUGUUUUAAUUCACUCAUAAAAUGUACAUUUGAUCAGCAACAAUUACAUUUUGGUACAAAAUGUCUAUGUUUAAAAAAAUCAUUUUCCAUGAAAUAAAAUAGUUGGACAGCUCCUGAAUAUCACUCUUGUUUAAUGUAAGAAUAAAGGUGAAAUCAUACAUCCUCAUGAAGCAGAACAGCCAGAGGCUGCAUAGCCAAGUGAGUUUUUGGAAGUAUAUCACUUAUCUCAGUGAAAGAGAGGUGAGACCUUGGUUUAAAUUUAUUUUUCUUAUAGUUCAAUCAAGUCUAGCAUGCUCCUUAUCCAAUCUUUAGGAAAACUUGUAUGAAUUUCUGAAUUUCACUGUUGAAGGUGAGAUGACCUAAUUACUCUUUUAUAAUAACAAAA